rnacentral:rRNA from 1 species
CGCUGGCGGCGUGCCUAAUACAUGCAAGUCGAACGGCUUUUCUAUGGAAGCUUGCUUCCACUGAGAAGAUAGUGGCGAACGGGUGAGUAACACGUGGGUAACCUGCCCAUAAGAGGGGGAUAACAUCCGGAAACGGGUGCUAAUACCGCAUAGUUUUCUUGAUUGCAUGAUUGAGAAAGGAAAGACGGCCUUUGUGCUGUCGCUUAUGGAUGGACCCGCGGCGUAUUAGUUAGUUGGUGAGGUAACGGCUCACCAAGACGAUGAUACGUAGCCGACCUGAGAGGGUGAUCGGCCACAUUGGGACUGAGACACGGCCCAAACUCCUACGGGAGGCAGCAGUAGGGAAUCUUCCGCAAUGGACGAAAGUCUGACGGAGCAACGCCGCGUGAGUGAAAGAAGGUUUUCGGAUCGUAAAACUCUGUUGUCAGAGAAGAACAAGUUGGAGAGUAACUGCUCCAGCCUUGACGGUAUCUGACCAGAAAGCCACGGCUAACUACGUGCCAGCCGCCGC